AACGUAGGUUCCGAGCGUUAUCCGGAUUUACUGGGCGUAAAGCGUGCGCAGGCGGCUUUGCAAGACAGAUGUGAAAUCCCCGGGCUUAACCUGGGAACUGCAUUUGUGACUGCAUGGCUGGAGUGCGGCAGAGGGGGAUGGAAUUCCGCGUGUAGCAGUGAAAUGCGUAGAUAUGCGGAGGAACACCGGAGGCGAAGGCGGCUCCACUGGGGGAUUUUCUGACGGCUGAGGAACGAAAGCCAGGGGAGCGAACGGG
rnacentral:rRNA from 1 species